GGGAGGCGUGCCUGAGAAGGUAGCCUGUGCAUCUGGUGAGUGUGUCACGAGCUUUGUUACUGCCAAACUCACUCCUUUUUAGAAAAAACAAAAAAAAAGGGCCAGAAAGUCAUUCCUUCCAUCUUCCUUGCAGAAACCACGAGAACAAAGCCAGUUCCCUGUCAGUGACAGGGCUUCUUGUAAUUUGUGGUAUGUGCCUUAAACCUGAAUGUCUGUAGCCAAAACUUGUUUCCACAUUAAGAGUCAGCCAGCUCUGGAAUGGUCUGGAAAUGUCUUCCUGGUACCAACUUGUUUUCUUCUGC
rnacentral:lncRNA from 1 species